rnacentral:rRNA from 1 species
AGUGAACGCUGGCGGUAGGCCUAACACAUGCAAGUCGAACGGCAGCACAGGAGAGCCUGCUCUCUGGGUGGCGAGUGGCGGACGGGUGAGGAAUACAUCGGAAUCUACUCUGUCGUGGGGGAUAACGUAGGGAAACUUACGCUAAUACCGCAUACGACCUACGGGUGAAAGCAGGGGAUCUUCGGACCUUGCGCGAUUGAAUGAGCCGAUGUCGGAUUAGCUAGUUGGCGGGGUAAAGGCCCACCAAGGCGACGAUCCGUAGCUGGUCUGAGAGGAUGAUCAGCCACACUGGAACUGAGACACGGUCCAGACUCCUACGGGAGGCAGCAGUGGGGAAUAUUGGACAAUGGGCGCAAGCCUGAUCCAGCCAUACCGCGUGGGUGAAGAAGGCCUUCGGGUUGUAAGGCCCUUUUGUUGGGAAAGAAAUCCAGCUGGCUAAUACCCGGUUGGGAUGACGGUACCCAAAGAAUAAGCACCGGCUAACUUCGUGCCAGCCGCCGCGGUAA